rnacentral:rRNA from 1 species
UAGCACGGGAGCAAUCCUGGUGGCGAGUGGACGAACGGGUGAGUAAUAUAUCGGAACGUGCCCAGUAAUGGGGGAUAGCCCGGCGAAAGCCGGAUUAAUACCGCAUACGACCUACGGGUGAAAGCGGGGGAUCGCAAGACCUCGCGUUAUUGGAGCGGCCGAUAUCAGAUUAGCUUGUUGGCGGGGUAAAAGCCCACCAAGGCGACGAUCUGUAGCUGGUCUAAGAGGACGACCAGCCACACUGGGACUGAGACACGGCCCAGACUCCUACGGGAGGCAGCAGUGGGGAAUUUUGGACAAUGGGCGCAAGCCUGAUCCAGCCAUGCCGCGUGUGGGAAGAAGGCCUUCGGGUUGUAAACCACUUUUGUCAGGGAAAGAAACGGUCUUACUAAUAUUAGGAGCUAAUUGACGGUACCUGAAGGAAUAAGGCACCGGGCUUAACUUACGUGCCAGGCCAGGCCCGCGGGUAAUACGGUUAGGGGUGCCAAGGCCGUUAAUUCCGGGAAAUUUACUGGGGCGUUAAAAGGCGUUGCCGCCAGGCGGGUUUUGCCAAGGACCAGGAUUGUGGAAAUUCCCCCCGGGGGUUCAAAC